rnacentral:rRNA from 1 species
CCCUACGGGGCGCAGCAGGCGCGAAAACUUUACAAUGCGAGAAAUCGUGAUAAGGGAACCCCGAGUGCCCGUAAAUUCGGGCUGUUAAUCUGUGUAAAAAGCAGGUGGAGAAAGGGCCGGGCAAGACCGGUGCCAGCCGCCGCGGUAAUACCGGCGGCUCGAGUGGUGGCCACUAUUACUGGGCUUAAAGCGUCCGUAGCUGGAUUGUUAAGUCUCUUGGGAAAUCUACCGGCUUAACCGAUAGGCGUUCAAGGGAUACUGGCAAUCUAGGGACCGGAAGAGGUGAGAGGUACUCCAGGGGUAGGAGUGAAAUCCUGUAAUCC